AGGUUUAGGGAAUUGAGAAUAGGUUAAGGUUUAGGUUUAGGAAAUCGGGUUUGGGUUUGGGAUCGGGUUUAGGUUUGGGUUUUCAAGUUUAGGUUUAGUUUUGGUUAGGGAGUUGGGAUUAGGAUUAGGUGUAGGUUUAGGUUUAGGGAUUUGAGAAUACAUUUAGGUUCUAGGUUUAGGUUUAGGUUUUAGGUUUUAGGUUAAGGUUUAGGUUUUAGGUUUAGGUUAAGGUUAGGUUAUAGGUUAUAAGUUUAGGUUUUGGUUUAGGUUAAGGUUAUAGGUUUAGGUUAAGGUUUAGGUUUAGGUUUAGGUUAAGGUUUAGGUUUAGGUUAUAAGUUAUAGGUUUAAAGAAUUGAGAAUAGUUUAAGGUUUAGGUUUAGGUAAUCGGGUUCGGGUUCGGGAUCGGGUUUAGGUUGGGG